GCAGGCGGAAGCUGGGCGGGUCAGCUCCAUUAUUUCAAUAUGGGUUCGCGGGUUCAAACCCCGCCGCCUGCG
rnacentral:tRNA from 1 species